rnacentral:tRNA from 1 species
GCGCUCGUAGCUCAGCUGGAUAGAGCACUAGACUACGAAUCUAGGGGUCAGGAGUUCGAAUCUUCUCGAGCGCACCA